GUUUUUACUCAACUUUUUCUUUCUCCCUCAUAAUUUCCGUCGACGCAUUUCCGGCAAACUUCUCCUCAUUUCUUUGUGUCACUAAGAAUUGGCACAUGUAGCCAAAUUCUGGAAAUUUCGAGAACUGACACUGGUAGUCAACUGUGGGAAAAGAAUUGAUACGAGUAGACAUAUUGUGCGUAUUUCGAAAAUUGGCACUAACACCCAUAUUGUGUGAAUUUCAAGAAUUGACAUUGGUAGUCAUAUUGUGUGUAUUUUAGAAUUGACAUUGUUAGUCAUAUGGUGGUGAGCGUAUUCGAGAUUGAUUCUUACAAUGCAGUAAGAAUUCGAUAACAGAGAACUGAACUGUUUUAUCCUGGCGACA
rnacentral:lncRNA from 1 species